UCCCUGGUGGUCCAGUGGUUAAGACACUGCGCUCCCAAUGCAGGAGCCACGGGUUCAAUGCCUGUUCAGGGAA
rnacentral:tRNA from 1 species